AGUGUAAUGGGCGUGGCCGGAUUGUCGAUCCGGUGGUUGCGGGUUCGAGUCCCGUC
rnacentral:tRNA from 1 species